AUGGCAAAGAUGUUCCAUCUAUUGUUUUCUGGACUGAUAAAGGUGGAUGAAGAUCUUCCUAACUUUCAUCAGGCUUUGGGAGAGGUUGAAUUCAAAGGGUUGCAGGCCUUCAGUUGUCCACUGCGUUCUCCAGACAUCAGUCUGAUGCAUACUUCAACAACAAAUGAUCCUGGUGUUGUUCUAAACCAGAAGGAAAACAAAUAUAAUCACUCCUUUUUUAUCUAUGGAAGACUUCAAGAACCUGUGGAUGGCCUAGGAGUGACUGUCAUUCAAAGGUGCUGUGUAAAGGACCUGAUGUGAGUUAUUAAUAUUAUUUCUUUGGAAUUCUAUGAGGUCCAAGAGCAUUUCGGAC
rnacentral:lncRNA from 1 species